rnacentral:rRNA from 1 species
GACGAACGCUGGCGGCGUGGAUUAGGCAUGCAAGUCGAACGGUAUCAUCCUUUCGGGGGUGAGAGAGUGGCGAACUGGUGAGUAACACGUAGGUUAUCUACCCUCAAGACGGGGACAACCCAGGGAAACUUGGGCUAAUACCGGAUGUGAGCAACUUUUAGUUGUUUGAAAGGUGGCGUAAGCUGUCGCUUGGGGAUGAGCCUGCGUCCUAUUAGUUAGUUGGUGAGGUAACGGCUCACCUAGGCAAUGAUAGGUAGGCGGCCUUAACGGGUGGUCGCCCACACUGGGAUUGAGAUACGGCCCAGACUCCUACGGGAGGCAGCAGUCGAGAAUAGUCUACAAUGGCCGAAGGCUGAUAGUGCGACGCCGCGUGAACGAGGGAGCCCUUCGGGUGUAAAGUUACUUUUCUAUACGAGCAGUGCUAUAUAUAAUGGAUAGUAUAUAUAGAGGGAUAGUAGUAUAGGAAUAAGACAACGGACUAACUCCGUGCCAGCAGCCGCGGUAAACACGAG